rnacentral:rRNA from 1 species
AGGGAAAGAGUGGGGCAUGCUUUACACAUGCAAGUCGAACGGCAGCGCGGGGCAACCUGGCGGCGAGUGGCGAACGGGUGAGUAAUACAUCGGAACGUACCCAGAAGUGGGGGAUAACGUAGCGAAAGUUACGCUAAUACCGCAUACGUUCUACGGAAGAAAGUGGGGGACCUUCGGGCCUCAUGCUUUUGGAGCGGCCGAUGUCUGAUUAGCUAGUUGGUGAGGUAAAGGCUCACCAAGGCGACGAUCAGUAGCUGGUCUGAGAGGACGACCAGCCACACUGGGACUGAGACACGGCCCAGACUCCUACGGGAGGCAGCAGUGGGGAAUUUUGGACAAUGGGCGCAAGCCUGAUCCAGCAAUGCCGCGUGAGUGAAGAAGGCCUUCGGGUUGUAAAGCUCUUUUGUCAGGGAAGAAACGGCUGAGGAUAAUACCUUCGGCUAAUGACGGUACCUGAAGAAUAAGCACCGGCUAACUACGUG